rnacentral:ncRNA from 2 species
CGAGCCGGAGCGGGAGAGUCCUCAGGUCAGCACUGGGGCGCCGAAGGAGCAACUUCCCCGCCAAUCUCUCAGGUACCAGUUACCGCUCCGCGCCA